rnacentral:rRNA from 1 species
AGAGUUUGAUCCUGGCUCAGGAUGAACGCCGGCGGUGUGCCUAAUACAUGCAAGUCGAACGCGUUGGCCCAACUGAUUGAACGUGCUUGCACGGACUUGACGUUGGUUUACCAGCGAGUGGCGGACGGGUGAGUAACACGUAGGUAACCUGCCCCAAAGCGGGGGAUAACAUUUGGAAACAGAUGCUAAUACCGCAUAACAAUUUGAAUCGCAUGAUUCAAAUUUAAAAGAUGGCUUCGGCUAUCACUUUGGGAUGGACCUGCGGCGCAUUAGCUUGUUGGUAGGGUAACGGCCUACCAAGGCUGUGAUGCGUAGCCGAGUUGAGAGACUGAUCGGCCACAAUGGAACUGAGACACGGUCCAUACUCCUACGGGAGGCAGCAGUAGGGAAUCUUCCACAAUGGGCGCAAGCCUGAUGGAGCAACACCGUGUGAGUGAAGAAGGGUUUCGGCUCGUAAAGCUCUGUUGUUAGAGAAGAACGUGCGUGAGAGCAACUGUUCACGCAGUGACGGUAUCUAACCAGAAAGUCACGGCUAACUACGUGCCAGCAGCCGCGGUAAUACGUAGGUGGCAAGCGUUAUCCGGAUUUAUUGGGCGUAAAGCGAGCGCAGGCGGUUUGAUAAGUCUGAUGUGAAAGCCUUUGGCUUAACCAAAGAAGUGCAUCGGAAACUGUCAGACUUGAGUGCAGAAGAGGACAGUGGAACUCCAUGUGUAGCGGUGGAAUGCGUAGAUAUAUGGAAGAACACCAGUGGCGAAGGCGGCUGUCUGGUCUGCAACUGACGCUGAGGCUCGAAAGCAUGGGUAGCGAACAGGAUUAGAUACCCUGGUAGUCCAUGCCGUAAACGAUGAGUGCUAGGUGUUGGAGGGUUUCCGCCCUUCAGUGCCGCAGCU